rnacentral:rRNA from 1 species
AGAGUUUGAUCCUGGCUCAGGAUGAACGCUGGCGGCGUGCCUAAUACAUGCAAGUCGAACGCAUCACCUCGGUGAUGAGUGGCGAACGGGUGAGUAAUACAUAAGUAACCUGGCCCAUACAGGGGGAUAACUGCUGGAAACGGCAGCUAAGACCGCAUAUGUGUAGAGAUCGCAUGAACUCUAUAUGAAAAGUGCUAAGGCACUGGUAAGGGAUGGACUUAUGGCGCAUUAGCUAGUUGGCAGGGUAAAGGCCUACCAAGGCGACGAUGCGUAGCCGACCUGAGAGGGUGACCGGCCACACUGGGACUGAGACACGGCCCAGACUCCUACGGGAGGCAGCAGUAGGGAAUUUUCGGCAAUGGGGGAAACCCUGACCGAGCAACGCCGCGUGAAGGAAGAAGUAAUUCGUUAUGUAAACUUCUGUCAUAGAGGAAGAACGGUGGAUAUAGGGAAUGAUAUCCAAGUGACGGUACUCUAUAAGAAAGCCACGGCUAACUACGUGCCAGCAGCCGCGGUAAUACGUAGGUGGCGAGCGUUAUCCGGAAUGAUUGGGCGUAAAGGGUGCGUAGGUGGCAGAUCAAGUCUGGAGUAAAAGGUAUGGGCUCAACCCGUACUGGCUCUGGAAACUGAUCAGCUAGAGAACAGAAGAGGACGGCGGAACUCCAUGUGUAGCGGUAAAAUGCGUAGAUAUAUGGAAGAACACCGGUGGCGAAGGCGGCCGUCUGGUCUGGAUUCUGACACUGAAGCACGAAAGCGUGGGGAGCAAAUAGGAUUAGAUACCCUAGUAGUCCACGCCGUAAACGAUGAGAACUAGGUGUUGGGGGAAUAACUCAGUGCCGCAGUUAACGCAGUAAGUUCUCCGCCUGGGGAGUAUGCACGCAAGUGUGAAACUCAAAGGAAUUGACGGGGGCCCGCACAAGCGGUGGAGUAUGUGGUUUAAUUCGAAGCAACGCGAAGAACCUUACCAGGCCUUGACAUCCCUUGCAGAGGUAUAGAGAUAUAUCCGAGGUUAUCAAGGAGACAGGUGGUGCAUGGUUGUCGUCAGCUCGUGUCGUGAGAUGUUGGGUUAAGU